rnacentral:rRNA from 1 species
UGGGGAAUCUUCCGCAAUGGGCGAAAGCCUGACGGAGCAACGCCGCGUGAAUGAAGAAGGCCUUCGGGUCGUAAAGUUCUGUCUUUAGGGAAGAACCGUAUACUUGUAAAUAAUGAGUAUACCUGACGGUACCUAAGGAGGAAGCUCCGGCUAACUACGUGCCAGCAGCCGCGGUAAUACGUUGGGAGCAAGCGUUGUCCGGAAUUACUGGGCGGAAAGGGCGCGUAGGCGGGAAUUUAAGGUAGAUGUGAAAGCACCGGGCUCAACCUGGUGACUGCAUUUAAAACUGGGUUUCUUGAGGGCAGGAGAGGAAAGUGGAAUUCCUAGUGUAGCGGUGAAAUGCGUAGAUAUUAGGAGGAACAUCAGUGGCGAAGGCGACUUUCUGGACUGUACCUGACGUUGAUGCGCGAAAGCGUGGGGAGCAAACG